AAUAACCUCAUUUUUCGUUUUUCUCCAACUUUUGACCAUUCGUUUUAUUUGAAAAUUUUUUACGAUUAAUAUUUUUAUUAUUACUAGAUGAUAAAAUAUGAAUAAUAUUUUAUACGUGACUAAUCCUUUUAAGUUUUUUAACAAAUUUUUCAAAUAAGACGAAUGGUCAAACGUUGGACACGGAAAACGAAAAAUAAGGUUAUU
rfam:Oryza brachyantha chromosome 6, whole genome shotgun sequence.